AACGAACGCUGGCGGCGUGGAUUAGGCAUGCAAGUCGAACGAGAAAGUCCCCGCAAGGGGAUGAGUAAAGUGGCGAACGGGUGAGUAACACGUGGGGAACCUGCUUCCGACUGGGGGAUAACAGUCCUAACGGGCUGCUAAUACCGCAUGACGCCUUGGGUCGCAUGGCUCAAGGUUAAAGGAGGCCUCCGAUUCGAGCUUCCGGUUGGAAAUGGUCCCGCGUCCUAUUAGCUAGUUGGUAGGGUAACGGCCUACCAAGGCAACGAUGGGUAGCCGGCUUGAGAGAGUGGUCGGCCACACUGGGACUGAGAUACGGCCCAGACUCCUACGGGAGGCAG
rnacentral:rRNA from 1 species